rnacentral:rRNA from 1 species
GGGUUGUGAGGUUAAGCGACUAAGCGUACACGGUGGAUGCCCUGGCAGUCAGAGGCGAUGAAGGACGUGCUAAUCUGCGAAAAGCGUCGGUAAGGUGAUAUGAACCGUUAUAGCCGGCGAUGUCCGAAUGGGGAAACCCAGUGUGAUUCGUCACACUAUCGUUAACUGAAUACAUAGGUUAACGAGGCGAACCGGGGGAACUGAAACAUCUAAGUACCCCGAGGAAAAGAAAUCAACCGAGAUUCCCCCAGUAGCGGCGAGCGAACGGGGAGCAGCCCAGAGUCUGAAUCAGCUUGUGUGUUAGUGGAACGGUCUGGAAAGUCCGACGGUACAGGGUGAUAGUCCCGUACACCAAAAUGCACAGGUUGUGAACUCGAAGAGUAGGGCGGGACACGUGGUAUCCUGUCUGAAUAUGGGGGGACCAUCCUCCAAGGCUAAAUACUCCUGACUGACCGAUAGUGAACCAGUACCGUGAGGGAAAGGCGAAAAGAACCCCGGCGAGGGGAGUGAAAAAGAACCUGAAACCGUGUACGUACAAGCAGUGGGAGCACCUUCGGGUGUGACUGCGUACCUUUUGUAUAAUGGGUCAGCGACUUAUAUUCUGUAGCAAGGUUAACCGUAUAGGGGAGCCGCAGGGAAACCGAGUCUUAACUGGGCGUUAAGUUGCAGGGUAUAGACCCGAAACCCGGUGAUCUAGCCAUGGGCAGGUUGAAGGUUGGGUAACACUAACUGGAGGACCGAACCGACUAAUGUUGAAAAAUUAGCGGAUGACUUGUGGCUGGGGGUGAAAGGCCAAUCAAACCGGGAGAUAGCUGGUUCUCCCCGAAAGCUAUUUAGGUAGCGCCUCGUGAACUCAUCUUCGGGGGUAGAGCACUGUUUCGGCUAGGGGGUCAUCCCGACUUACCAACCCGAUGCAAACUACGAAUACCGAAGAAUGUUAUCACGGGAGACACACGGCGGGUGCUAACGUCCGUCGUGAAGAGGGAAACAACCCAGACCGCCAGCUAAGGUCCCAAAGUCAUGGUUAAGUGGGAAACGAUGUGGGAAGGCACAGACAGCCAGGAUGUUGGCUUAGAAGCAGCCAUCAUUUAAAGAAAGCGUAAUAGCUCACUGGUCGAGUCGGCCUGCGCGGAAGAUGUAACGGGGCUAAACCAUGCACCGAAGCUGCGGCAGCGACACUAUGUGUUGUUGGGUAGGGGAGCGUUCUGUAAGCCUGCGAAGGUGUGCUGUGAGGCAUGCUGGAGGUAUCAGAAGUGCGAAUGCUGACAUAAGUAACGAUAAAGCGGGUGAAAAGCCCGCUCGCCGGAAGACCAAGGGUUCCUGUCCAACGUUAAUCGGGGCAGGGUGAGUCGACCCCUAAGGCGAGGCCGAAAGGCGUAGUCGAUGGGAAACAGGUUAAUAUUCCUGUACUUGGUGUUACUGCGAAGGGGGGACGGAGAAGGCUAUGUUAGCCGGGCGACGGUUGUCCCGGUUUAAGCAUGUAGGCUGGUUGUCCAGGCAAAUCCGGAUAAUCAAGGCUGAGGUGUGAUGACGAGGCACUACGGUGCUGAAGUAACAAAUGCCCUGCUUCCAGGAAAAGCCUCUAAGCAUCAGGUAACAUCAAAUCGUACCCCAAACCGACACAGGUGGUCAGGUAGAGAAUACCAAGGCGCUUGAGAGAACUCGGGUGAAGGAACUAGGCAAAAUGGUGCCGUAACUUCGGGAGAAGGCACGCUGGUGUGUAGGUGAAGUCCCUGCGGAUGGAGCUGAGACCAGUCGAAGAUACCAGCUGGCUGCAACUGUUUAUUAAAAACACAGCACUGUGCAAACACGAAAGUGGACGUAUACGGUGUGACGCCUGCCCGGUGCCGGAAGGUUAAUUGAUGGGGUUAUCCGUAAGGAGAAGCUCUUGAUCGAAGCCCCGGUAAACGGCGGCCGUAACUAUAACGGUCCUAAGGUAGCGAAAUUCCUUGUCGGGUAAGUUCCGACCUGCACGAAUGGCGUAAUGAUGGCCAGGCUGUCUCCACCCGAGACUCAGUGAAAUUGAACUCGCUGUGAAGAUGCAGUGUACCCGCGGCAAGACGGAAAGACCCCGUGAACCUUUACUAUAGCUUGACACUGAACAUUGAGCCUUGAUGUGUAGGAUAGGUGGGAGGCUUUGAAGCGUGGACGCCAGUCUGCGUGGAGCCAACCUUGAAAUACCACCCUUUAAUGUUUGAUGUUCUAACGUUGGCCCCUGACCGGGGUUGCGGACAGUGUCUGGUGGGUAGUUUGACUGGGGCGGUCUCCUCCCAAAGCGUAACGGAGGAGCACGAAGGUUAGCUAAUCCUGGUCGGACAUCAGGAGGUUAGUGCAAUGGCAUAAGCUAGCUUGACUGCGAGCGUGACGGCGCGAGCAGGUGCGAAAGCAGGUCAUAGUGAUCCGGUGGUUCUGAAUGGAAGGGCCAUCGCUCAACGGAUAAAAGGUACUCCGGGGAUAACAGGCUGAUACCGCCCAAGAGUUCAUAUCGACGGCGGUGUUUGGCACCUCGAUGUCGGCUCAUCACAUCCUGGGGCUGAAGUAGGUCCCAAGGGUAUGGCUGUUCGCCAUUUAAAGUGGUACGCGAGCUGGGUUUAGAACGUCGUGAGACAGUUCGGUCCCUAUCUGCCGUGGGCGCUGGAGAAUUGAGGGGGGCUGCUCCUAGUACGAGAGGACCGGAGUGGACGCAUCACUGGUGUUCGGGUUGUCAUGCCAAUGGCACUGCCCGGUAGCUAAAUGCGGAAGAGAUAAGUGCUGAAAGCAUCUAAGCACGAAACUUGCCCCGAGAUGAGUUCUCCCUGAGACUUUAAGUCUCCUGAAGGAACGUUAAAGACGAUGACGUUGAUAGGCCGGGUGUGUAAGCGCAGCGAUGCGUUGAGCUAACCGGUACUAAUGAACCGUGAGGCUUAACCUUACAACGCCGAAG